GUGGACGCCAGGUCCUAGGAGGUUAAAGGUCACACCUUUUUGCUAAUGCCUGGCAUUCAGCCUAUUCAUCCUUUGUUUUCUCUUUAGCUUGGGCCACUAAUAAAUGCUUUACUUUACUGCUUGUCAACACUUUAGGAAUUAUGAUACUAAUAUUUUGUACUUUUUAAAUCGUGUCCAUUUCAAAGCCUUACUGUGUGGUUCCAGGUGCAUCAUGACAGGCCUGAGUGUUUUCCGCCACCUCUGGAGCUGGCUUUGCUACCCAUGCUGCAACAGCUGGCUGUCAUAUUGGAAAGAUGGCAUGCUGCUGCAGUUGGUAGUGAUAUUGUAGCCACAGAUGUAAAUGAAAGGAUCCAUUUUCAGCGCGGUAAUCUGUCUGUCAGUGUAAGAAGCUGGUGGCGAGUGUGUACGUGCGUAUAUGGAGAUUACAAGAGGAACACCACUUUGCUCAACAUCCCUAAGCCAUCACUGGAGACAAAACUUCCCAGUCUUUAGUACCUCCUGUCUUCACACCAACAAAGGACAACGCUUAGGACCACAAAGGUGUUUGCCAGGUUUUUGUGGACCCUCUUCACACUCCACUGCCUCUAAAGAACACAUUCCAGUGAGGGUGUUGGGUCAGCGAAGGCGCUGAAGGACAGUCUUUGGCCUGCAAGCUGCGGUAAUUUGUUUAUUCUGAUUAGGCCCAGGAAUGUCAACUAUGAAGAGACACUACAAGUCAUGACAGCUUCGUUUGACACUUUUGGCAAUCUGUCAUUGACACUAGUGAGCAAGCAACUCAGCACAAUGCCACUCCACUGUGUGGACAGGGAGAGAGUUUUAAUCUCUGCAGCAUCUGGUUGGGUUCUUCAAAAAAAAAAAAGGAAGAUGAAAG